rnacentral:rRNA from 1 species
UACGAAGGGGCUAGCGUUGCUCGGAAUUACUGGGCGUAAAGCGCACGUAGGCGGCUUUCUAAGUCGGGGGUGAAAUCCUGGAGCUCAACUCCAGAACUGCCUUCGAUACUGGAGAGCUCGAGUCCGGGAGAGGUGAGUGGAACUGCGAGUGUAGAGGUGAAAUUCGUAGAUAUCAAGCGGAACACCGGUGGCGAAGGCGGCCUUCUGGACAGUGACUGACGCUGAGACGGCGAAAGCGUGGGGAGCAAACAGG